rnacentral:sRNA from 1 species
GACAUGGCGGUCCUGCCAGGACAUACCUGUCUGUGGGUAGCUUUUUGCUAUGAAGUCCACACUGUUGUGACAGUGGCAUCCUUGUCCUUGGUUGUGGCAUUGCUCACUGAGCUGCUGACCUGGUGGGCUUGGGACAUUUCUCCUCAGUGCUCUGUGGAGCCCUCCUCUGCACCCCUCAGCUGUUCUGGCAUGGUGGCCCUGCACACAGGGGCCCAGGCUGAUUUGGACUCUGCAACAGCAGGAGUGGAGCUGUGUGUGCCUGUGGACUUGUGCCCUCCCUGGGAGAGCGUCCCCUGGCCACUGUGUUACCGCUUGCUCAGAAGGGCCCAUCGUGCUUUGUAUGCUCACCCAGCAGGAGGGCUGGACAUCCAGGAGAGGCAGGGGUUGCCACCUGCCCUCAAGGCCUCAGCCCAUCUUUAGUGUAUCUGCAGGCAUCAGAGAGGUCAUUUGUCCCUUAACAUUAGGACCCUGGUCCAGGCCAGGCUAGAGGUAUGGGUCAUGCAGUGACCAACACACCUGGCGUCCUAGCCGUUCGUAUUUGGGAGUCUCCAGGAGCCUAGUCUCUUACUGCUUGGGGCUAUGAGGGGAUUGAGCCUGUAGGUAGGAGAGAUCUGUGCUCUGUGAGCCUCACGCCCUUUGAACCAUGGUCAGUCCGAUAGGCCCUUUCCUGAGAAGCUCUGCCCUUGUGUUCCCACAGAUCCUAUGAAUGCACUCCAGAGCCUGACUGGCGGACCCGCCGCGGGAGCCGCCGGAAUUGGCAUGCCUCCUCGGGGCCCGGGACAGUCUCUGGGCGGGAUGGGUAGCCUUGGUGCCAUGGGACAGCCAAUGUCUCUCUCAGGGCAGCCGCCUCCUGGGACCUCGGGCAUGGCCCCUCACAGCAUGGCUGUCGUGUCUACGGCAACUCCACAGACCCAGCUGCAGCUCCAGCAGGUGGCGCUGCAGCAGCAGCAGCAACAGCAGCAGUUCCAGCAGCAGCAGCAGGCGGCGCUACAGCAGCAGCAACAGCAGCAACAGCAGCAGUUCCAGGCUCAGCAGAGUGCCAUGCAGCAGCAGUUCCAAGCAGUAGUGCAGCAGCAGCAGCAGCUCCAGCAGCAGCAGCAGCAGCAGCAUCUAAUUAAAUUGCAUCAUCAAAAUCAGCAACAGAUACAGCAACAGCAACAGCAGCUACAGCGAAUGGCACAGCUGCAGCUCCAGCAACAGCAACAGCAGCAGCAGCAGCAGCAACAGCAGCAGCAGCAGGCUUUGCAGGCCCAGCCGCCAAUUCAGCAGCCACCGAUGCAGCAGCCACAGCCUCCGCCCGCCCAGGCUCUGCCCCAGCAGCUGCAGCAGAUGCAUCACACACAGCACCACCAGCCACCACCACAGCCCCAGCAGCCUCCAGUUGCUCAGAACCAACCAUCACAACUCCCGCCACAGUCGCAGACCCAGCCUUUGGUGUCGCAGGCGCAAGCUCUCCCUGGACAAAUGUUGUAUACCCAACCACCACUGAAAUUUGUCCGAGCUCCGAUGGUGGUGCAGCAGCCCCCAGUGCAGCCCCAGGUGCAGCAGCAGACAGCAGUACAGACAGCUCAGGCUGCCCAGAUGGUUGCUCCCGGAGUCCAGGUCAGCCAGAGCAGCCUCCCCAUGCUGUCCUCGCCGUCACCGGGCCAGCAGGUGCAGACCCCGCAGUCGAUGCCCCCACCCCCCCAGCCGUCCCCGCAGCCCGGCCAGCCCAGCUCACAGCCCAACUCCAACGUCAGCUCUGGCCCUGCCCCGUCCCCCAGUAGCUUCCUGCCUAGCCCCUCACCGCAGCCCUCCCAGAGCCCAGUGACGGCGCGGACCCCACAGAACUUCAGUGUCCCCUCACCUGGACCUUUAAACACACCUGUGAACCCCAGCUCUGUCAUGAGCCCAGCUGGCUCCAGCCAGGCUGAGGAACAGCAGUACCUGGACAAGCUGAAGCAACUGUCCAAGUACAUCGAGCCCCUACGCCGCAUGAUCAACAAGAUCGACAAGAACGAAGGUAGGCUGCAGCCAGGGCACGAGCCUGCACCCUGGGGACACCGCCGGGCUUGUGUCUUAGUGUACCCUCUUCUGUCCCAGACAGAAAAAAGGACCUGAGUAAGAUGAAGAGCCUUCUGGACAUUCUGACAGACCCCUCGAAGCGGUGUCCCCUGAAGACCUUGCAAAAGUGUGAGAUCGCCCUGGAGAAACUCAAGAAUGACAUGGCGGUGCCCACUCCCCCACCGCCCCCGGUGCCACCGACCAAACAGCAGUACCUAUGCCAGCCGCUCCUGGAUGCCGUCCUGGCCAACAUCCGCUCACCUGUCUUCAACCAUUCCCUGUACCGCACAUUCGUUCCAGCCAUGACCGCCAUUCACGGCCCACCCAUCACGGCCCCAGUGGUGUGCACCCGGAAGCGCAGGCUUGAGGAUGAUGAGCGGCAGAGCAUCCCCAGUGUGCUCCAGGGCGAGGUGGCCAGGCUGGACCCCAAGUUCCUGGUAAACCUGGACCCUUCUCACUGCAGCAACAAUGGCACUGUCCACCUGAUCUGCAAGCUGGAUGACAAGGACCUCCCGAGUGUGCCACCACUGGAGCUCAGUGUGCCCGCUGACUAUCCUGCCCAAAGCCCACUGUGGAUCGACCGGCAGUGGCAGUACGACGCCAACCCCUUCCUCCAGUCGGUGCACCGCUGCAUGACCUCCAGGCUGCUGCAGCUCCCAGACAAGCACUCGGUCACCGCCUUGCUCAACACUUGGGCCCAGAGCGUCCACCAGGCCUGCCUCUCAGCCGCCUAGCCAAGACUGCAGGGAUGGCCCGCAGCCUCAUCGGGGCCAAGGACACACGCCUCGUGUCAGGCACUUCUAGGUGUUGGCUUCCUUAGAGAGCCUGGGUUUAGGUUAGCUUUCCUGCUUUUAUCUUCUGCCUUGGGGACCUGCCAAACGAAAUCCCACACCUGUACAGAACUGGGAUAGGCGCAGUGGAGCGGGCUGCUUGGGGGGUGUUGGCCGACUUCUUACAGAAGGCCCUCCAUGUGACUUCCUCCAAGGAGCCAGAUGCGAUCCUUGGGCUGCUCUCACUGUGGCCUGUCCACGGUCCAGGUCCAUCUCAGCAGCGUGAGGGUGCACUCAGGGUGUUGUUAGAGCGUCUCGUGUGUGCUAGACACACCCCUACUCGUUCCUAUAGGAGAACACAGAGGACAUAGGAAACCCUUAAAACACACAUGGGAUUCUCUGGUCACAGUUUUGGGUUCAGGCUACGCUGCUUUGGGCAGGUAGGGCACCCUCUGGGGAAGCCCCCAAGUCCAGGGCACAGGCUGCCUUUUGGAGGGAGGGCU